GAGUUUGAUCCUGGCUCAGGACGAACGCUGGCGGCGUGCUUAACACAUGCAAGUCGAACGGAAAGGCCCCGCUCGCGGGGUACUCGAGUGGCGAACGGGUGAGUAACACGUGGGUGAUCUGCCCUGCACUUCGGGAUAAGCCUGGGAAACUGGGUCUAAUACCGGAUAUGACCUCCCUUUAGUGUGGGGGGUGGAAAGAUUUAUCGGUGCAGGAUGAGCCCGCGGCCUAUCAGCUUGUUGGUGGGGUAAUGGCCUACCAAGGCGUCGACGGGUAGCCGGCCUGAGAGGGUGGACGGCCACAUUGGGACUGAGAUACGGCCCAGACUCCUACGGGAGGCAGCAGUGGGGAAUAUUGCACAAUGGGCGGAAGCCUGAUGCAGCGACGCCGCGUGGGGGAUGACGGCCUUCGGGUUGUAAACCUCUUUCGACAGGGACGAAGUGAAAAUGACGGUACCUGUAUAAGAAGCACCGGCUAACUACGUGCCAGCAGCCGCGGUAAUACGUAGGGUGCGAGCGUUGUCCGGAAUUACUGGGCGUAAAGAGCUCGUACGUGGUUUGUCACGUCGCCUGUGAAAUUCCGGGGCUUAACCUCGGGCGUGCAGGCGAUACGGGCAAUACUUGAGUGCUGUAGGGGAGACUGGAAUUCCUGGUGUAGCGGUGAAUGCGCACAUAUCAGGAGGACACCAAUGGCGAAGGCAGGUCUCUGGGCAGUUACUGACGCUGAGGAGCGAAAGCAUGGGUAGCGAACAGGAUUAGAUACCCUGGUAGUCCAUGCCGUAAACGGUGGGCGCUAGGUGUAGGGGACUUCCACGUUCUCUGUGCCGUAGCUAACGCAUUAAGCGCCCCGCCUGGGGAGUACGGCCGCAAGGCUAAAACUCAAAGGAAUUGACGGGGGCCCGCACAAGCGGCGGAGCAUGUGGAUUAAUUCGAUGCAACGCGAAGAACCUUACCUGGGCUUGACAUACACCGGACCGGCGUAGAGAUACGUCUUCCCUUGUGGUCGGUGUACAGGUGGUGCAUGGUUGUCGUCAGCUCGUGUCGUGAGAUGUUGGGUUAAGUCCCGCAACGAGCGCAACCCUUGUCUUAUGUUGCCAGCACGUGAUGGUGGGGACUCAUGAGAGACUGCCGGGGUCAACUCGGAGGAAGGUGGGGAUGACGUCAAAUCGUCAUGCCCCUUAUGUCCAGGGCUUCACACAUGCUACAAUGGUCGGUGCAGCAGGUCGCGAACUCGUGAGAGUAAGCCAAUCCUUCAAAGCCGGCCUCAGUUCGGAUUGGGGUCUGCAACUCGACCCCAUGAAGUCGGAGUCGCUAGUAAUCGCAGAUCAGCAACGCUGCGGUGAAUACGUUCCCGGGCCUGUACACACCGCCCGUC
rnacentral:rRNA from 1 species